GGCCUGUAUGCGUUCUCUUGGAACCUGUGGACAUCACCAACACUGAAGCUUUGGUCGCUGGGUGGGGACGUCUCGCAGAAAGUGGGGAGAGAACGAAAUACCUCCAUUACACGUCACUGAGACUUCUGCCGCACGACGUAUGCAAGAGUGUGUACUUCUCCAACUACAACCAUGAUGUGAACUACUGCGCGUACAAGAAAGACACGGAUACCUGCCAGGGUGACUCCGGUGGACCACUUAAAAUCAAAACCACUACUGGUAUAUACGUGCAAGUUGGAAUAAUCUCUCAUGGGAUUGGCUGUGCUCAAGAAGGCGUGCCUGGCGUGUACACACGGGUGGAUGCAUUUGCUUCAUGGCUGACCGAGGCUGUGGCGUCCGACGAAGGCUACGAGGAAUUUCCCAACGCAUCUCUGCGGCAGCCCGUGCAAUACCAAGCAC
rnacentral:lncRNA from 1 species